AGUGGCCAGUGAGAGAGAGAGACAGAGAGAAAGGUCUUCCUUUGCCGUUGGUUCACCCUCCAAUGGCCGCCACGGCCGGCACGCUGCGGCCGGAACACCGCGCUGAUCCAAUGGCAGGAGCCAGGAGCCAGGUGCUUUUUCCUGGUCUCCCAUGGGGUGCAGGGCCCAAGCACCUGGGCCAUCCUCCACUGCACUCCCUGGCCACAGCAGAGAGCUGGCCUGGAAGAGGGGCAACCGGGACAGAAUCCGGCGCCCCAACCAGGACUAGAACCCGGUGUGCUGGAGCCGCUAGGCGGAGGAUUAGCCUAGUGAGCCGCGGCGCCAGCCCAGGGCAAUUUCUUUUUGUGACUUUAUGGGGGUAUUUACACAGACCAUGAGGGCUGUGGAGGAGGACGUUGGCCUAGAGGUCAAGCCAUGCUUAGGAUGUCCCUGUUCCGGAUCAGGGUGCUUGGGUUCAGUGCCCACCUCUGGCUCCCAUCUCCAGCUUCCUGCCACCCACGUGAGAGACCUGCCUUUAGUUCCUGGUCCCCAGUGUCAACCUUCUGGUGGGAUGGGAGCACAUUCUGUCUGUCUGUCUGUCUCUCUUUCUAUCCCUCCCUGUGUGUGUGUGUAUGUGUUUGUGUGUGUGUGUUGCUCUCUGUCUCUCAAAUGAAUAAAUAAAUGUUUUAAUGAUGGCUGGCUAUGAUAUGACUAGACAAUAUAAUCUUUUAAAAAUAUUUAUCUGUUUAAAAGGCAGAGAUAGAGAGAGACAGGGAAAGAGAUAGAGAUAGGGAGUGAGAAAGGGAGAGAGAGAGAGAGAGAGGGAGAGAGAGAGAGAGAGAGAGAGAGAGAAUCUUCUCUAUCUACUGGUUCACUUCCCAAAUGGCUGCAACAGCCAGGUCUGGGCCAGCUGAUGCAAGGAGCCAGGAACUCUAUCGUGGUCGCCUACAUGGGUGGCAGGGGCCCAAGUGCUUGGCCUUCUCAGGUGCAUUAGCAGGAAGCUGAGUCAGAAACAGGGUAUCCAGGACUUGAACCAGCACUCCCGUAUGGGAUGCCAGCACCACAAGAGGCAGAAUAACCCGCCGUGCCUCAACACUGGCCCCUAGUUGAUGUGAUGCUAUGAGCCCAUCAUCCUAGCUGCUGUCCAUCAUUGACGGAAACGUUGUUACUAGCCACAUUACCACAUAUGGGGAUGCCAGUAUCCAUUCUCCCCCUCUUCCUGGUCAUUGUAUUAGAAAUGCCAAUUAAUGCAUUUAAAAACCACCUUUCACCACGCAUCAGACACAGUGCCGGGUGCUUUGUUCGCCUCGUCUGAUUUACUGUCCUCCACAGCCUGAAAGAAAGUGAUGCUGCCUCUGUUUUUGCAGGCGAAGAUGAAGACACGGAGGCUCCACAAAAUGAAACUGUCUGCCCAAAGUCACCCAGUUAAUGGCAGAGUGGAGGUACAAAGCCACAUUUGUUCAACUCCAAAGACAAGGCCCUGGAACCACAUUCCGAUGUCUCCCUAACCCCGGAAAGACAGAGCAGUCUCCUGUUCCUGCUCAAGUGGCCACUAACCAAGAAGGUACAUCAUCUGCACACUGCAGGCAUCAUAUGGAGUCCUCGACCUGAAGUCUGGAGCAGACCAGUUGUCAAGAGCCACAUGCUGGGCAGAGGGAGACCGAGGACAGCCAGCCCAACCUCCAUGAGCUGUGAGUCCCACCUCUUCACCCAGCAGCCCAGCUCCCCCUAGUAUGUUUUCCAAGCACCUAGGGAGCACUGGCUACACAGCUCUAGGUUGAGCAAGUACUGAGGAGAGCAGAUAAGGGUCAGUAGCACUGCCCUGAGAGGUGCUUCAGCUUACGGAGGCAAGAACUCACAGACACAGGAAAGCAACAGUCAAGCACAAGACAGCACGUGGUCAGGUGCCAAGUGAGUGCCAAGGCCCGAGGGAGUUUCUCAGAUGUCCUGUGUAGGCCACUGACGUCUCCAUCCUUUAUCCCAUGUCCCCCACCGUCACCCCCAUGACUGCCGACUGUUCCAAGAGCUCACCUGUGCCUUUCUCUUCCCAGCCUGUGUGCCCCUGUCUCUCUCUGCCUGGAAUGCCCUAUCUUGAUUUGUCAGGCUCUUAUUCGCUCCACAAUCCCCUACCCAGCUGCCAUCUUGUGCAGGAACUCCUUCCUCAUCUUCUUUUUUGAAACCAGUUGGUCCCCCUCAACGUUUCCAAGCAUUUCAUCAGCCCUCUUUGAACAUCAUUUGUUCUGUGCAUCAAGCAGUGUAUUAGCUUUUCUUUGCUACAACAAAAUACCCAAGACAUCCAAACUUUAUAAAGAAAAGAGGUUUAUUUUGUCUCACCAUUCUGGAGACUCACAGUCAAAGAUCAAGGUCCCCAUUGGUUUGACUUUGGAUGAUGGCCUUCCCACUGGCAGGGUCCCCAGGGGGCACAGAGCAACACAUGGCAAGAGACUGGGAGCACAGGUUUGCCGAUAUUUAUCCUUAUAAAGCCACAGGAUUCAAACCUGGAGUCUCCACUCAUGACCUAAUCAGAUCUCAUCACUUCCUAUAUGCCCACCUCUAGUCAACAUCAUUGAAUUGAGUUUUCACCCUUAGUACCAUUAACAUAAGACUCUGAGGACUAAACUCCUGAGGUCAGGGGGAUAAAUAUUCAAAUCUUAGCAAGCCAGUAGAUGAUUUCUUGGGUCUAUCAGAAAAGACCUAACACAAUGACAUCUCUCCCUGUCUUGUGGGUGAUUCUUUUUAAUGAUCCCAUCCAUCUCCCAUGCUGGCCUACCAGCUCCACAAGAUCAGAUGCCCGACUUUUCCACUGUUGCCUUCUCCAGGCACAGACCAGGCCUGCUCUUCAGUGAGUAUCCACUGAGUUGGGCAGAUGUGAACACAGCAGAAUGACAGCACUGGGGACCUGGUCACUGCCCCAAAGGCCCACGAUGCGGGGCGGGGUGGGGGGUGGGGGCUCCAAUCAAAAAGGAAACAAAGUUGCUAAGCCUUCGCUCAACAAGGCCACGAAGCCUUUGCUGGAGUUAGCCGCACUUCCGCAUCCCAGUGACUCAGCGUUCCCAACAAUCCAAGAUGGCCUCCCGGGGAGGUACCUAGCCUGACAGGAGACUUCCGUAUUCGUGAACAGUAUUUGUCCUCGGCUGUGAUAGGCCCUUGAGGGCGUGCCCGGCUCGUGUCCUGCCUUACCUUUCUGCUGGUUGGCUCAGUUCCCUUGUGCCCUGGACAGCCCCCUUUCUGUGUCUAUAAAAGCUUUUCCCCCUCCCAAUAAAGUCGAGGACCCGGCUGCGCCCUUGGCGGUGACUGAU